UCAAGUUGGCAACAUUGCACCGGAACUAGAAAGUGUAGACAACUUCGCUUUCGAAAUAGAGAACGUCAACAACAGAAAUCAAGACAAACAAAUUUAGAGUCGGCUACAUUAUACUGAUUAUAGAGUUCUAGUUCUGGUCUAAGUUUAUCUAGAUUUCAUUGAGAACAACUGGAUGUGUAUAAUGUGGACUGAUGUCUAUGUGGAUCAGAAGACUUAGGCUAUUCUCUUCAACAAUACUGUUUUUUGUUCUCCCCAAAAACAUAAUGGCUUGGCGUUCAAGUGGCAAUAGUAACUCACAGCUGGUUGAUAACUUGGCAGCCAAUGGCAUCAUCAAGUCAGACAGAGUGAUUCAUGCUAUGAAGAAAGUGGAUAGAGCUAACUUCUGCAAAGCAAAUCCUUACAAUGAUUCACCUCAGAGCAUUGGUUAUGCAGUGACAAUAAGUGCCCCUCACAUGCAUGCUCAUGCACUGGAGCUUCUGUCUGAACAUUUGACUGAGGGAAGCAAGGCUCUAGAUGUUGGCUCUGGAAGUGGUUACCUCACAGCCUGCAUGGCUCUAAUGGUUGGCAAAACUGGAAAGGCUAUUGGGAUUGAUCACAUCCAAGAGCUUGUGGAUGAUUCCAAAAGAAAUAUUGAAAAAGAUCUCAUCACUAGAGUCUUGCUGGAGACUGACCGUCUUCAGUUGGUUGUGGGAGAUGGGAGACAAGGCUACCUUCCAGAAGCCCCAUUUGAUGCUAUACAUGUUGGAGCAGCUGCUCCUGACCUGCCAGAGGCUCUGUUGGAACAGUUGAAGCCAGGUGGACGUUUAAUUAUUCCAGUUGGUCCAGCUGGGGAAAAUCAAAGUCUCUUACAGGUUGACAAGUUGCAAGAUGGCUCUAUUGUGAAGAAGAACUUGAUGGGAGUCUUGUAUGUGCCACUCACAAGCAAAGAGAAGCAAUGGCCCAGCCUCUGAGAGCUCCAGUACAGCAGAGGAGAACAGAAUUUGGCAGUAAAGCUUGACUGAGAAGAAUAGGUUUAUUGAAAAAAAAAAAAGGAAGAAAUUUGAGCUGUGAACUGAAGGCCUAAUGCAUCAGAAACUACACUCUUUAUGUGUGUCCUAUCUUAUGGCUAUAACAUGUACAGACAUUGUUCAUUCUGCAUACUGCACCUACACAUGCUAAAUCAUUGACUCACUGUACUUUGAAUGGUUAUUGUUCCUGCAAUGUUGACAAAUGCGUUUGUAUUUACUAUUUAUUUCAGUUGGAGUUGGCCCCCCUGCCCAGUGAGCAGAAUGCCUUAUAUGAUUUUAGUUCUGCAACCAUUUUUCUUACACCUUUUAGGCUAAAGCUUGAAAUUCAAUGUUAAUUUUACCAUGCUUUGGUCAUUGGCUAAUAAACUUGUUUUCUUACAAUAAAAAAACAACCCACCAAA